CAUUUAAAGAAAGCGUAAUAGCUCACUGGUCGAGUCGGCCUGCGCGGAAGAUGUAACGGGGCUAAACCAUGCACCGAAGCUGCGGCAGCGACACUGUGUGUUGUUGGGUAGGGGAGCGUUCUGUAAGCCUGUGAAGGUGUGUCGUGAGGCAUGCUGGAGGUAUCAGAAGUGCGAAUGCUGACAUAAGUAACGAUAAAGCGGGUGAAAAGCCCGCUCGCCGGAAGACCAAGGGUUCCUGUCCAACGUUAAUCGGGGCAGGGUGAGUCGACCCCUAAGGCGAGGCCGAAAGGCGUAGUCGAUGGGAAACGGGUUAAUAUUCCCGUACUUGGUGUUACUGCGAAGGGGGGACGGAGAAGGCUAUGUUGGCCGGGCGACGGUUGUCCCGGUUUAAGCGUGUAGGUGUGUGUUCCAGGUAAAUCCGGUUCACUUUAACACUGAGGCGUGACGACGAGGCACUACGGUGCUGAAGCAACAAAUGCCCUGCUUCCAGGAAAAGCCUCUAAGCAUCAGGUAACAUCAAAUCGUACCCCAAACCGACACAGGUGGUCAGGUAGAGAAUACCAAGGCGCUUGAGAGAACUCGGGUGAAGGAACUAGGCAAAAUGGUGCCGUAACUUCGGGAGAAGGCACGCUGACACGUAGGUGAAGUGAUUUACUCAUGGAGCUGAAGUCAGUCGAAGAUACCAGCUGGCUGCAACUGUUUAUUAAAAACACAGCACUGUGCAAACACGAAAGUGGACGUAUACGGUGUGACGCCUGCCCGGUGCCGGAAGGUUAAUUGAUGGGGUCAGCGCAAGCGAAGCUCCUGAUCGAAGCCCCGGUAAACGGCGGCCGUAACUAUAACGGUCCUAAGGUAGCGAAAUUCCUUGUCGGGUAAGUUCCGACCUGCACGAAUGGCGUAAUGAUGGCCAGGCUGUCUCCACCCGAGACUCAGUGAAAUUGAACUCGCUGUGAAGAUGCAGUGUACCCGCGGCAAGACGGAAAGACCCCGUGAACCUUUACUAUAGCUUGACACUGAACAUUGAGCCUUGAUGUGUAGGAUAGGUGGGAGGCUUUGAAGUGUGGACGCCAGUCUGCAUGGAGCCGACCUUGAAAUACCACCCUUUAAUGUUUGAUGUUCUAACGUGGACCCGUUACCCGGGUUGCGGACAGUGUCUGGUGGGUAGUUUGACUGGGGCGGUCUCCUCCUAAAGAGUAACGGAGGAGCACGAAGGUUGGCUAAUCCUGGUCGGACAUCAGGAGGUUAGUGCAAUGGCAUAAGCCAGCUUGACUGCGAGCGUGACGGCGCGAGCAGGUGCGAAAGCAGGUCAUAGUGAUCCGGUGGUUCUGAAUGGAAGGGCCAUCGCUCAACGGAUAAAAGGUACUCCGGGGAUAACAGGCUGAUACCGCCCAAGAGUUCAUAUCGACGGCGGUGUUUGGCACCUCGAUGUCGGCUCAUCACAUCCUGGGGCUGAAGUAGGUCCCAAGGGUAUGGCUGUUCGCCAUUUAAAGUGGUACGCGAGCUGGGUUUAGAACGUCGUGAGACAGUUCGGUCCCUAUCUGCCGUGGGCGCUGGAGAACUGAGGGGGGCUGCUCCUAGUACGAGAGGACCGGAGUGGACGCAUCACUGGUGUUCGGGUUGUCAUGCCAAUGGCACUGCCCGGUAGCUAAAUGCGGAAGAGAUAAGUGCUGAAAGCAUCUAAGCACGAAACUUGCCCCGAGAUGAGUUCUCCCUGAGACUUAAAGUCUCCUGAAGGAACGUUGAAGACGACGACGUUGAUAGGCCGGGUGUGUAAGCGCAGCGAUGCGUUGAGCUAACCGGUACUAAUGAACCGUGAGGCUUAACC
rnacentral:rRNA from 1 species